AUGAAGAAAUAAGGGUGCUUUCGAGACCCGACUCUCAUUAUUUACCCUGUGAAUUAAACUUUUUUCAUAUUUAAACACUAUAAAGUCUUUGGAUGUAAAUAGCUUUUAUUAGCAAUAAUAAAAUA
rnacentral:misc_RNA from 1 species